GCGGGUGUAGUUCAAUGGCAGAACGCUAGCUUCCCAAGCUCGAUACGCGGGUUCGAUUCCCGUCACCCGCUCCA
rnacentral:tRNA from 2 species